rnacentral:rRNA from 1 species
CAGUCGCCGCGGUAAUACGUAGGGCGCAAGCGUUGUCCGGAAUUAUUGGGCGUAAAGAGCUCGUAGGCGGUCUGUCGCGUCUGGUGUGAAAUCCCGAGGCUCAACCUCGGGCUUGCAUCGGGUACGGGCAGACUAGAGUGCGGUAGGGGAGACUGGAAUUCCUGGUGUAGCGGUGGAAUGCGCAGAUAUCAGGAGGAACACCGAUGGCGAAGGCAGGUCUCUGGGCCGCAACUGACGCUGAGGAGCGAAAGCAUGGGGAGCGAACAGGAUUAGAUACCCCGGUAGUCCCUGUCUCUUAUAA